rnacentral:rRNA from 1 species
GGCGAACGCUGGCGGCAGGCCUAACACAUGCAAGUCGAACGGACCCUUCGGGGUUAGUGGCGGACGGGUGAGUAACACGUGGGAACGUGCCUUUAGGUUCGGAAUAACUCCUGGAAACGGGUGGUAAUGCCGAAUGUGCCCUUCGGGGGAAAGAUUUAUCGCCUUUAGAGCGGCCCGCGUCUGAUUAGCUAGUUGGUGAGGUAACGGCUCACCAAGGCGACGAUCAGUAGCUGGUCUGAGAGGAUGACCAGCCACACUGGGACUGAGACACGGCCCAGACUCCUACGGGAGGCAGCAGUGGGGAAUCUUGCGCAAUGGGCGAAAGCCUGACGCAGCCAUGCCGCGUGAAUGAUGAAGGUCUUAGGAUUGUAAAAUUCUUUCACCGGGGACGAUAAUGACGGUACCCGGAGAAGAAGCCCCGGCUAACUUCGUG